CCAGUGUUCUCUGGAACAUGUCUAACAUGCACAGUUAAAGAGGGAACAUGCACUGAAAAUACAACUAGGAGCUGUGAUUUCACUACUCAUGCCUGUGCUACCGUAUCUACAGAUAGUUAUGGUUGUAAGUAACACCUUGUUAUCCAAUUUUAUAUCAUUAAUAAGUCUACUUGAAUUAGUGGAGUGACAGAAAAUAGGAAAACACAUUGUAUAAAUAGAGGUCAAUGUUUACAGAAUUGGGGAACAAUUACAAAAGAUUUAAUGGGGUGGCAGGGAAGCCAAUUCCUAGAACAAUAGGUUCAGAAUGCUGUCCACUUCUCUCUGUCCCACCUCUCCAAGUUAGCUUUAAACUAAACAGAACAGUCACAGAAUGGAUUUGCUCUUUGAAUGUUAUAGUAUUGGAUUUUAAGCUGUUGGUUCAGAAAAAUAUUUAGUAGUUUCCAAAUUUUAUAAACAAAGAGCAGACUGAAUCCUGACUUCCUUUCUGUAUUUGUUUGCAGCCUCUAGUGAUACAUACCGAACCUGUAUUGAAAAGAGUCAGUGUGAUAAAUCUGCAACAUAUGUGUCAAAUACAAGUGCAGUCAGACUGAGCACCACCUGCUGCAAUGAAGACAACUGUACAUCCACAAUACCC